rnacentral:RNase_P_RNA from 1 species
GGAGUGGGCAAGGCGAUCGCCCGUGGGCUUAGCCUGCGGGAGGAAAGUCCGGACUGGGCAGGGCACGGUGAUUGGUAACGCCAACCCGGCGCGAGCCGAGGGAAAGUGCCACAGAAAAGACACCGCCACGCAAUCGUCGAAACGAGAAAACGUCGAAACAAACCGGUUUCGAUAUUUUCAACCUUUUGACGUUUGCGUCGGUAAGGGUGAAAAGGUGCGGUAAGAGCGCACCGCGCGGCCGGUGACGGUCGUGGCAAGGUAAACCCCACCGCCAGCAAGCCCAAAUAGGCAGCGAGAGGCGGCCCGUCUCGCGGAUCGAUUCAAUCGUGAUUCGAUCUGAAGCUGCGGGUAGGGUGCUCGAGCCGACGGGCGACCGUCGGCCUAGAUAAAUGAUCGCCACGCCGUGCAAGCGGCGGACAGAAUCCGGCUUACUCGCCCGCUUCGUCU